rnacentral:rRNA from 1 species
AGUGAACGCUGGCGGUAGGCCUAACACAUGCAAGUCGAACGGCAGCACAGUAAGAGCUUGCUCUUACGGGUGGCGAGUGGCGGACGGGUGAGGAAUACAUCGGAAUCUACUUUUUCGUGGGGGAUAACGUAGGGAAACUUACGCUAAUACCGCAUACGACCUACGGGUGAAAGCAGGGGAUCUUCGGACCUUGCGCGAUUGAAUGAGCCGAUGUCGGAUUAGCUAGUUGGCGGGGUAAAGGCCCACCAAGGCGACGGUCCGUAGCUGGUCUGAGAGGAUGGAUCAGCACAAUGGGAACUAGGAACCGUCCACACUCCUUCCGGGAGGAGCAGGUGGGAAAUAUGGGAAAAGGGGGCAAACCCUAACCCAGCAAACCGGCGUGGGUGAAGAAGGCUUCGGGGUGUAAAACCCUUUUUGUUGGGAAAGAAAACAAGCAGGUUAAUACCCGGUUGUCCUGCCGGUCCCAAAAGAAUAAGAACCGCCUACUUCGUG